AUGAACGCUAGCUACAGGCUUAACACAUGCAAGUCGAGGGGCAGCAUGGUCUUAGCUUGCUAAGGCCGAUGGCGACCGGCGCACGGGUGAGUAACACGUAUCCAACCUGCCGUCUACUCUUGGACAGCCUUCUGAAAGGAAGAUUAAUACAAGAUGGCAUCAUGAGUCCGCAUGUUCACAUGAUUAAAGGUAUUCCGGUAGACGAUGGGGAUGCGUUCCAUUAGAUAGUAGGCGGGGUAACGGCCCACCUAGUCUUCGAUGGAUAGGGGUUCUGAGAGGAAGGUCCCCCACAUUGGAACUGAGACACGGUCCAAACUCCUACGGGAGGCAGCAGUGAGGAAUAUUGGUCAAUGGGCGAGAGCCUGAACCAGCCAAGUAGCGUGAAGGAUGACUGCCCUAUGGGUUGUAAACUUCUUUUAUAAAGGAAUAAAGUCGGGUAUGCAUACCCGUUUGCAUGUACUUUAUGAAUAAGGAUCGGCUAACUCCGUGCCAGCAGCCGCGGUAAUACGGAGGAUCCGAGCGUUAUCCGGAUUUAUUGGGUUUAAAGGGAGCGUAGAUGGAUGUUUAAGUCAGUUGUGAAAGUUUGCGGCUCAACCGUAAAAUUGCAGUUGAUACUGGAUAUCUUGAGUGCAGUUGAGGCAGGCGGAAUUCGUGGUGUAGCGGUGAAAUGCUUAGAUAUCACGAAGAACUCCGAUUGCGAAGGCAGCCUGCUAAGCUGCAACUGACAUUGAGGCUCGAAAGUGUGGGUAUCAAACAGGAUUAGAUACCCUGGUAGUCCACACGGUAAACGAUGAAUACUCGCUGUUUGCGAUAUACAGCAAGCGGCCAAGCGAAAGCGUUAAGUAUUCCACCUGGGGAGUACGCCGGCAACGGUGAAACUCAAAGGAAUUGACGGGGGCCCGCACAAGCGGAGGAACAUGUGGUUUAAUUCGAUGAUACGCGAGGAACCUUACCCGGGCUUAAAUUGCAGAUGAAUUACGGUGAAAGCCGUAAGCCGCAAGGCAUCUGUGAAGGUGCUGCAUGGUGGUCGUCAGCUCGUGCCGUGAGGUGUCGGCUUAAGUGCCAUAACGAGCGCAACCCUUGUUGUCAGUUACUAACAGGUUCUGCUGAGGACUCUGACAAGACUGCCAUCGUAAGAUGUGAGGAAGGUGGGGAUGACGUCAAAUCAGCACGGCCCUUACGUCCGGGGCUACACACGUGUUACAAUGGGGGGUACAGAGGGCCGCUACUACGCGAGUGGAUGCCAAUCCCAAAAACCUCUCUCAGUUCGGACUGGAGUCUGCAACCCGACUCCACGAAGCUGGAUUCGCUAGUAAUCGCGCAUCAGCCACGGCGCGGUGAAUACGUUCCCGGGCCUUGUACACACCGCCCGUCAAGCCAUGGGAGCCGGGGGUACCUGAAGUGCGUAACCGCGAGGAGCGCCCUAGGGUAAAACUGGUGACUGGGGCU
rnacentral:rRNA from 1 species